rnacentral:rRNA from 1 species
AAUCAACGCUGGCGGCGUGCCUCAGACAUGCAAGUCGAACGCGAAAGGCUCCUUCGGGGGCCGAGUAGAGUGGCGCACGGGUGAGUAACACGUAGGUAAUUUGCCUUUGGGUGGGGAAUAACUCAGGGAAACUUGAGCUAAUACCGCAUAAUGCAGCGGCUCGACAUCGAGACAGUUGUUAAAGCGGGGGAUCGCAAGACCUCGCGCCUGAAGAGAAGCCUGCGGCAGAUUAGCUAGUUGGUAGGGUAAUGGCCUACCAAGGCGACGAUCUGUAACCGGCCUGAGAGGGCGGUCGGUCACACUGACACUGACAUACGGGUCAGACUCCUACGGGAGGCAGCAGUCGGGAAUUUUGGGCAAUGGGCGCAAGCCU